UACGUAGGGGGCGAGCGUUGUCCGGAUUUACUGGGCGUAAAGGGUGAGUAGGCGGUUGUAUAUGUCAGAUGUAAAAGGCACAGGCUUAACUUGUGUAAGCAUUUGAAACUGUACAACUUGAGUGCAGGAGAGGUAAGUGGAAUUCCUAGUGUAGCGGUGAAAUGCGUAGAUAUUAGGAGGAACACCAGUGGCGAAGGCGACUUACUGGACUGAAACUGACGCUGAGGCACGAAAGCGUGGGUAGCGAACAGG
rnacentral:rRNA from 1 species